UUGACAUUUUCCCUCAGAAUUUCUAUGAUCGUUCUGCGUGAAAGACAGCUUAAAACUUCACCUUGAAGCCCCUCCAUCAAAACCUGAGUAAGUCAGGCAAUAAGUUCAAGUACUAAUCGGGGUGAAGUAGAAGGCACAACAUGGUCAGCAUGCAAGAACAGCUAACUCCAAUCAAAUGAGUGCUCCUACCAACCUGGUGUUGUGCUUCCAGCUGGUGCCAGUAAUGGGUGCCUGGGGAAGGAGGCGCUGCCAUUCUCCAUCUCCGUCUCAUCAGCCAGGAGAUACAGGAGAACUGAGAUAUUGGAAAAUGAAGCAACCUUUCCAAAGUCAGCAACAGGUCAGCAGCUGAAUUGGGAGCAACAUCCUCUGGCCUCUGCCUCCUCCAGCAGCUCCAGUUCUGAACAGGGCAGAGAUGAUGCUGCAGUGCAGACCGGCAGGACGUAAAAAUACACAGAAGGUAAUAGGAAGCUCUUUGUGCUUCUUCUCAGUUCCUCUCUGCGAGCAUGAGGU
rnacentral:lncRNA from 1 species